CAACUUUUGGCAACGGAUCUCUUGGUUCUCGCAACGAUGAAGAACGCAGCGAAAUGCGAUAAGUAGUGUGAAUUGCAGAAUUCAGUGAAUCAUCAAAUCUUUGAACGCACAUUGCGCUUCCUGGUAUUCCGGGGAGCAUGCCCGUUUCAGAAUCAUUAAAUCCUCA
rnacentral:rRNA from 1 species